ACAGUCUGCGCAAGGAAAAAAAGGCAUUUUGUGGUAGAAGGAAGCUGGGAUCAGAAAGACCCAAAAUCGCCUGAAUUUGACCCAAAAUGGAGGAGAGAAAAACAGAAUUUGACCAAAAAUGGAAGAAAAAAUGGGGUGAAAAAGGGGAAUUUUGGUCAAAAAUUGAAAUUGGAAUCUUGGAAACGAAAAAGGUUUUUUUAAUGGUAGAAGAGGAUUUGAAAUAGAAAAUAUCGAAAUUGAAUGAAUUUGACCCAAAAUGGAGGAGAGAAAAAUGGGAUUUGACCAAAAAUGGAGGAGAGAAAAACAGAAUUUGACCAAAAAUGGACGAAAAAAUGGGGUGAAAAAGGGGGAAUUUGGUCAAAAACUGAAAUUGGAAUCUUGGAGUGGAAAAGGGUUUUUUUAAUGGUAGAAGAGGAUUUGAAAUAGAAAAUAUCGAAAUUGAAUGAAUUUGACCCAAAAUGGAGGAGAGAAAAAUGGGAUUUGACCAAAAAUGGAAGAAAAAAUGGGGUGAAAAAGGGGGAUUUUGGUCAAAAAGUGAAAUUGGAAAGUUGGAAAGGAAAAAGGUUUUUUUAAUGGUAGAAGAGGAUUUGAAAUAGAAAAUAUCGAAAUUGAAUGAAUUUGACCCAAAAUGGAGGAGAGAAAAACGGAAUUUGACCAAAAA